rfam:Heterocephalus glaber contig61811, whole genome shotgun sequence.
GCACAAGGACCAGAGUUCAAUCCCCAGUACCAAAAAAAUAUAUAUAUAUGCGCAUAUAUAUAUAUAUAUAUAUAUAUAUGCGCAUAUAUAUAUAUUUUUUUGGUACUGGGGAUUGAACUCUGGUCCUUGUGC